UCACCAAGGGCCACGGAGGUGAUGGAGGAGGGUUGGAAAGAAAAGAAAAAAGAACGAAAGACAAAAAAGAGAGAGAGAGAGAGAGAGAGAAAAGAGAAUAAGGAUAUUUUUGUUCGGUUUUUAAAAAUUCGGUCUGAAUCUGUAAAAUCGAAAAUAAUUUUUUUUGCAAAAUCGCAAAAGUAGUGAAUUUUUUAUGCAAAUGGGCCAUUAUUUUAUUUUAGU
rnacentral:lncRNA from 1 species